rnacentral:rRNA from 1 species
AGUGAACGCUGGCGGUAGGCCUAACACAUGCAAGUCGAACGGCAGCACAGUAAGAGCUUGCUCUUACGGGUGGCGAGUGGCGGACGGGUGAGGAAUACAUCGGAAUCUACUUUUUCGUGGGGGAUAACGUAGGGAAACUUACGCUAAUACCGCAUACGACCUACGGGUGAAAGCAGGGGAUCUUCGGACCUUGCGCGAUUGAAUGAGCCGAUGUCGGAUUAGCUAGUUGGCGGGGUAAAGGCCCACCAAGGCGACGAUCCGUAGCUGGUCUGAGAGGAUGAUCAGCCAAACUGGAACUGAGACACGGUCCAGACUCCUACGGGAGGCAGCAGUGGGGAAUAUUGGACAAUGGGCGCAAGCCUGAUCCAGCCAUACCGCGUGGGUGAAGAGGGCCUUCGGGUUGUAAAGCCCUUUUGUUGGGAAAGAAAAGCAGCAGGUUAAUACCCCGCUGUUCUGACGGUACCCAAAGAAUAAGCACCGGCUAACUUCGUG